GUGGGGAAUAUUGCACAAUGGGCGCAAGCCUGAUGCAGCAACGCCGCGUGAGGGAUGACGGCCUUCGGGUUGUAAACCUCUUUUAGCAGGGAAGAAGCGAAAGUGACGGUACCUGCAGAAAAAGCGCCGGCUAACUACGUGCCAGCAGCCGCGGUAAUACGUAGGGCGCAAGCGUUGUCCGGAAUUAUUGGGCGUAACGAGCUCGUAGGCGGUUUGUCGCGUCUGCUGUGAAAUCCCGAGGCUCAACCUCGGGCCUGCAGUGGGUACGGGCAGACUAGAGUGCGGUAGGGGAGAAUGGAACUCCUGGUGUAGCGGUGGAAUGCGCAGAUAUCAGGAAGAACACCAAUGGCGAAGGCAGUUCUCUGGGCCGUAACUGACGCUGAGGAGCGAAAGCAUGGGGAGCGAACAGGAUUAGAUACCCUGGUAGUCC
rnacentral:rRNA from 1 species